rnacentral:rRNA from 1 species
CCUACGGGAGGCAGCAGUGGGGAAUAUUGCACAAUGGGGGAAACCCUGAUGCAGCGACGCCGCGUGAGUGAAGAAGUAAUUCGUUAUGUAAAGCUCUAUCAGCAGGGAAGAAAAUGACGGUACCUGAGUAAGAAGCCCCGGCUAACUACGUGCCAGCAGCCGCGGUAAUACGUAGGGGGCAAGCGUUAUCCGGAUUUACUGGGUGUAAAGGGAGCGUAGACGGCAGUGCAAGUCUGGAGUGAAAGGCGGGGGCUCAACCCCCGGACUGCUCUGGAAACUGUACGGCUAGAGUGCAGGAGAGGUAAGUGGAAUUCCUAGUGUAGCGGUGAAAUGCGGAGAUAUUAGGAGGAACACCAGGGGCGAAGGCGGCUUACUGGACUGUAACUGACGUUGAGGCUCGAAAGCGUGGGGAGCAAACAGGAUUAGAUACCCUGGUAGUC